rnacentral:tRNA from 1 species
GGAGAGGUGGCAGAGUGGUUGAAUGCACCGCACUCGAAAUGCGGCAUGGGUGCAAGCCCAUCGGGGGUUCGAGAUCCCCCCCUCUCCGCCA